GUUUUUUUAACAACUUUUGUUAUUGUUGCUCUGAUUCUCUCCUCUUCUUUAUGUAAAUAGGAUGAACAGAUUGGCAAGAGCCCUCAUGAUUGAGAUUUCUGAAGAGGUAGUACUUGGGAUUAAUACCAAACGUAUUUAAAACCAUAAGAAGAAUCUGCAUCAUGUUUCCUUUAUGUGGUGUUGUUUAGAAUUUAGAUACACCUCAGAUCAUCUGUCCUUCAGCUUGGAUUCUACUGUUUGCAAAAAUUAUUACAUCUCAUGGAAACACAAUUAGCUACAUUCAUGACGCCAAGACAAGCACAUGUAGAAGCAACAAUAGAGAUGCCUUGAUGACUUCACAUGCGUUUGUUUGCUCAUUUAUGGGUAAGCUACCUGAUGGGCGAGCUAUAGCUGUGAAGAGGCUUGUGAGUAGUUCACCUAUGCAUGUUUGUGAGACCUCACUUUAUUGUUGUGAUGUUAUCUACUUCUUGUAGAUUGACUCUGCUGGUGGUUGUAGUUAUUUUAGCUCAUGAAUUGGAUAUAGAGGAUGCAGAAUGCAAGUUUAUUUGAAGCCAAGUUUCAUCCAAGGUCAUUGAGUUUCAAGCUUCUUUAGUUAAGGUUGUGUUUCUUGAACUAGAAUUGUAGUCUUAUGAUUUUUGGAAUAACAUAGAUGGAUUGGUUUUGUAAUUUUGGAAUUAUCAUAUUAGGUUGGGUUGAUAGAAGUUUG